AACGAACGCUGGCGGCGCGCCUAAUACAUGCAAGUCGAGCGAGAAGACGUAGCAAUACGUUUGUAAAGCGGCGAACGGGUGAGGAAUACAUGGGGUAACCUACCCUCGAGUGGGGAAUAACUAGCCGAAAGGUUAGCUAAUACCGCGUACGCUCCUUGGACUUCGGUUCAGGGAGGAAAGCGAUACCGUGGGUAUCGCGCUCUUGGAUGGGCUCAUGUCCUAUCAGCUUGUUGGUGAGGAACGGCUCACCAAGGCUUCGACGGGUAGCUGGUCUGAGAGGACGAUCAGCCACACUGGCACUGCGACACGGGCCAGACUCCUACGGGAGGCAGCAGUAAGGAAUAUUGCGCAAUGGGCGAAAGCCUGACGCAGCGACGCCGCGUGGGGGAUGAA
rnacentral:rRNA from 1 species